CAUUCAAAAAGAUUUUUUAAAAAAAUGCAGGAUAAAUUAUAUAACCCUGCAUAAAGUGUGUUAUCUACGCCGUUCAUUAUAUUUAUGAACAUUUUAUUAGUAAUUUGGUUUCUGCACAGAUAACAGCUGUAUAAAACGUAAUUCUUUAUCUCAAAUAAUGUGUAGUCCGAUGGAAUACACACGCGUUCACGGUCAAAUCGCACACAUACUACAGAGACAAGGUCAGAAAUGAAUUUUCAUCGUACUAAGCUUAACUAAUAACCAUACAGAUAAUGUUUGAAACAAAUAUCUAUGGAUUUUAAUUUGUUUACUCCAUAGAACAAUUUCUUUGAUUAAACACAAAAUAUAAACAAAUACGUGUGUAUAAAAUAAAUAUUAACAUAGCGGAAAGGACGUGGUUUUGAUGAAGAGUUAGGGGUGUGGGGGGCAGAACUGUACUCAUUCUUGACCUCGGCAUUACAGGGAAGUGAGGGAUUAGCUUCAUGCUCCGUCACAUUUACUUCCAGUGUCCAUUGGAUAGCAGAUUGGAUGGACCUCGACGUGGAAGAUACGAGAAAAACCACUUGCCUCUCCCGGUAAUUGAGGUCCUGUCGUUUGCUAAAAAAAACUCAGUCUAAUUCCAUGAAAUCUCUAACUACUGAUUUUUAUUUUUCGUAUUUCUUAGUCUGUGUAUAUUUAACUAAAAUGUUAUCAGUUGUAAAAAUAUUUAGAUUUCACGAAUGAUUAAGAAUUAUCAGUUAACAUUUGACCUAUCCUGACAUUUGCUUUGUAAGUGAUCAGAAAACGAAGACGAGCUGCUAAGCACAUUUAAAAUGAUAUAGGCCCAACAGAUUCAUACGUUUUCCCAUGAAGAUUACAUAUAAUUUCAACGAUUAACGGACUCCACGGAACAGAGUUCUCCUUGAAAAGCUAAAUAGUGCGCUCAGCUACUCAAUAAAUUCGCUGCGUUUUAUGGAACUCUAAGGUUCAUUACCUUAUCCACUAGAGCCUCCUACGUGUCCGUAUCCCGAGCUAGACUGAUCCAAUCUACAAAUCUAAACGUUGUUUCCCUAAGACCCUUUUAAUAUUAUCCCCACAUCUACGCACAGUUCUUCCGAGUGGUCUCUUCCCUUCAUGAUUUGACACAAAAACAUUCCAUUAGUUCUCCCCUCUUAGAUCCAAAUAUUCUCAUAAGAACCCCAUUCAACAUCCUCAAUCAGUGUUCUUCCAGCGAAUUUGAUUUAUGAGUUUAUUUCCUGAAGUCGUUAUCACAUCAUUUAAGUAUCCGCAAUUUAUUAAUAACCCAUUAUUAAAGUUACCAUUAUAUAUAUCACAGUCUGUUGUUCAUCACACGAAACCCAUAAAUUAAUUUUAUUUCACACGUAUUUUAUAUUCAAAAUGGGUUUCUGGCGGGGUUACAUGCACGCCUCCGUGUUCUUGACGGUCCAUAUUUUCUCUUCUUAACUCUUACGUGUCCUGAGGUUAAAAUUUGUGCCAAAGAUACGCUCAAAAACCAGGCCUACGUUUCAUUAAACAUUGCAGACCCAAAAUAUCAGGUAGAGUUAAAUUCUUAUUUCGAAAUGACAGAACUAUUAUUGUAGUUUUCAGCUGGUGGAUAUUACAGUGGUAUUCUCAAGCCGCAGUUUUGACAGCUAAAAUUAAUUCAUCCCGCUAAGGUGGAAAAACGUAUCUUAUCGCGGCCCUAAAAGGGGCUGACUCUUUGUUCCUAAACGAAAUCGCCCCAAAGUCCCCUUUGGCAACGCUUGAAGUACCGCGAACGGCCGACGAAGGCGCCAGGUAAGCUUCCGUCAUUUUGUUUAAUGUUGCAUCAUUAAAGCUACUACUGACUCUGUGACGCGCGCUAAAACACUUGGUUGGUUUUCCUAGAAUUAAAACAGCGAGCUAGCUACUGGACGUGACACGGGACACGCCCCAUCCCUAGUUGACACGAUCAACUUAAUAACAUUUAGUUAACAGCCCUCAGAGAACAUGUGACAACGAUCGAUUAAUCGAUUAUCAUUCACUAUGAAUGUUCCGAUGUAAAUCGAAUGCUCGAUAUGGAACAU